rnacentral:rRNA from 1 species
UACGAAGGGGGCUAGCGUUGUUCGGAAUUACUGGGCGUAAAGCGCACGUAGGCGGAUCGAUCAGUCAGGGGUGAAAUCCCAGGGCUCAACCCUGGAACUGCCUUUGAUACUGUCGAUCUGGAGUAUGGAAGAGGUGAGUGGAAUUCCUGGUGUAGCGGUGAAAUGCGCAGAUAUCAGGAAGAACACCCGUGGCGAAAGCGGCUCUCUGGAACGGUACUGACGCUGAGACGCGAAAGCGUGGGGAGCGAACAGG